rnacentral:tRNA from 1 species
GCCUCUAUAGCUCAGUGGCAGAGCACUGGUCUUGUAAACCAGGGGUCGAGAGUUCGAUCCUCUCUGGAGGCU